rnacentral:rRNA from 1 species
UACGUAGGGGGCAAGCGUUGUCCGGAUUUAUUGGGCGUAAAGAGCGUGUAGGCGGCUUGGCAAGUCCGCUGUGAAAACUUGAGGCUUAACCUCGAGACGUCGGUGGAAACUGCCUGGCUAGAGUCCGGAAGAGGAGAGUGGAAUUCCUGGUGUAGCGGUGAAAUGCGCAGAUAUCAGGAAGAACACCAAUGGCGAAAGCAGCUCUCUGGGACGGUACUGACGCUGAGACGCGAAAGCGUGGGGAGCGAACAGG